GUAAGGAAUAUUGGACAAUGCCCGCAAGGGUGAUCCAGCCAUCCCGCGUGCAGGAAGACGGCCCUAUGGGUUGUAAACUGCUUUUAUCAGGGAAGAAACCCCUUGACUUGUUGAGGGUUGACGGUACCUGAUGAAUAAGCACCGGCUAACUCCGUGCCAGCAGCCGCGGUAAUACGGAGGGUGCAAGCGUUAUCCGGAAUCACUGGGUUUAAAGGGUGCGUAGGCGGCUAUAUAAGUCAGAGGUGAAAGGCUACGGCUUAACUGUGGGAUUGCCUUUGAUACUGUAUAGCUGGAAUCAGGUUGAAGUUAGUGGAAUGCGGCAUGUAGCGGUGAAAUGCAUAGAUAUGUCGUAGAACACCGAUUGCGAAGGCAGCUAACUGGGCUUGAAUUGACGCUGAGGCACGAAAGCGUGGGGAUCGAACAGGAUUAGAUACCCCGGUAGUCC
rnacentral:rRNA from 1 species